ACUUGUGGGUCACCCGGACUUUCACAAGCCAAAAAACCCAGAAACAUUAUCCUGACCCUCUUGCCAUUGUGCAAGCAAAACCCCUUAAAACCCUUGAAAUGGCUUCCUAUAAAUUCACACCUUUGGUUUAACUCUAUGUCAGCGGCAAAAGUCUCUAAGGCUUCAGGCCAUAGCUUCUCUCAACCUCUCUCUGUCUCUCUCAUAUAUUUGAGUGUUUGGUUUAGAAUUAUAAUGGUGAUGAAGAAUAAGAUCGCAGUGCUGAAUGGUUUUGAUAAAUCAUUAGAGCAUCAAUAUUGGUAGUGCUAAAAAGUUAAAUUGCUAUUUUUAGCACCACCAACUACAAAAACGGGAGCACAUUAGUGGGACUAAAUGUAUAUAUUUUAGUUUGUCAGCUACAAUACACAGCCAUCUCAAAGGUAAAAAAACAAAUUGUAUUUUAUUUAUGCGUUCAUGCUGAUGAAAAAUAUUUAAAUAAUUUCUUUUCCUUUUUCUCUUUUAUUACCAUUACAGCUCUCAGUCUCUCCUUUCUCAACUUUCUCUCUUCUCUUCCUCAGAUUCUUCUUUCUUUUCCUUUCCUCCAAAUUCUAACCAACCAAAUAGACUGCAAAAUUCUAAAUCAAAUGUGCAAUUUUCAAUUCCAACAUAAACCCAUAAACCCACUGCUGCUGUGGGCUUCUUCUUUUUCUACCGUGAGCUUCUUCCUCUUUUGUUGUGGCUUCUUCUUCUCUCAUUUUGUGUGUAAUGUAUCUCUUUCUUCUUGUCUUUUGGGUGAAGAAGAAACUAUCUUUUACACUGUGUUUGGUUGGGGUGAAUUUAGGGGGUGGAAAACAUAGGGAGGAAAAUAUGGUGGAAAUCAGUGUUUUCUACUGUUUGGCAAAAAAAGGAAAAUGGGGAGGAAGGAAAACCCGAGAAAAAUUUUUCUCUCCCAAGCCUACAAAAUUCAUCCUCCCAAUGUGGUAAAUUUUAUAUUAUUUAAUGAGUACAAAUAAAUGUAUUUCUUACUUAUUAUGUAACAAAUGUAUAAUAGUCAAUUUAUAUAAAUUAUAUUUUCCAUCCUUCCAUUUUUCUCUCCAACCAAAUAAAAGAGUUUUCCACCCUCUUACUUUUCUACCCCUCCAACCAAACACACAAGAGGGGAAACUAAAUAUUUUCUAUCCUCCCACUUUUCCAUCUUCAUACAAUUUUCCAUCCUUUCACUUUUCCAUCCCUCCAACCAAACGAACUCUUAGUCUUUAGAUGAAGAAGAAGAGCUGAAGAAGAGACAAAAUGGCGAGUGGAGGAAAAGAAAAGAUAUUUGAAGGGAAUGGGAAAGAAACGUGUGUGGCUGCUGAGGAAAAAGUGAAGGAAAAAAAAUAAAAUAAAGGAAGUUAGUGGGACACGUGUUUAUCAUGUAAUGAAAUUUACUAAAUAAAAAUUACAAUUGUGUUAAAACACAGCAAAUUAUUACAAAA